GACAUUUGGUAGAGACUGUUGAAGCCACCUGGUCCCAGCAGACCCCAGAAGGCAGCCACAUUCGCUGGUGCUGGAACAAGGUCAUUAAGGGUGAAGCCUGGUGCCAGAUGUGU
ensembl:rRNA 5S_rRNA 5S ribosomal RNA